rnacentral:lncRNA from 1 species
UGACUGUCUUGGCUGUGUGUGUGAGGGCCUUCUGACUAUGCACCAAUGGCCCGUGUCCUGGCUGGAUCUGUGUUGUAUGUGCGUGCCAUCACAAGUGCUUGAGUAUGUGCGUGUGCGACUCUGUGCAGGCAGGUAUUUCUCACCUUUUCUCUGUGUGAUGGGUGUGAUACUGUAUGUCACUAAAUGCAACCAUCUCUGUGAC